rnacentral:tRNA from 1 species
CUAAAACAAGUGUUCUGCAUAUUAGAUUUUCUCUCUAAUGGUGAAAUUUAUUUUUCGUUUUAGA